GCGACCCUAGGUUAGGCGGGAUCACCCGCUGAGUUUAAGCAUAUCAAUAAGCGGAGGAGAAGAAACUUACAAGGAUUCCCCUAGUAACGNGGAGCGAACCGGGAUCAGCCUAGCUUGGGAAUCGGGCGGCGAUGCCAUCCGAAUUGUAGUCUGUAGAAUUAUUCUCAGCAACGGACCGAGCCCAAGUYCCCUGGAAGGGGGCGCCGGAGAGGGUGAGAGCYCCGUCGUGCUUGGACCCUAUUGCACCACGAGGCGCUGUCGGCGAGUCGGGUUGUUUGGGAAUGCAGCCUCAAUCGGGCGGUAAAUUCCGUCUAAGGCUAAAUACCGGUGAGAGAUCGAUAGCGAAUAAGUACCGCGAGGGAAAGAUGAAAAGGACUUUGAAAAGAGAGUCAAAGAGUGCUUGAAAUUGUCAGAAGGGAAGCGGAUGGGGGCCGGCGAUGUGCCCCGAUCGGAUGCGGAACGGCAACGAACCGGUCCACCGCUCGGCUAGGGAUGURGACUGAUGCRGUUCACAGAGGUGACCGAAGCCCGGGCAAGUAGCUGCCCGURGAGACAUUGCCCCCGUGAUCGURGUAGGCAGCGCGCGCCUAGAGGCAUGCUUUAUGCAACUGCGCGCUCUCAGCGUCGGCCUGUAGGCUCCCCAUUCGGCCCGUCUUGAAACACGGACCAAGGAGUCUGACAUGUGUACGAGUCAACGGGUGAGUAAACCCGUAAGGCGCAAAGAAGCUGAUUGGCGGGAUCCCCCUGUAGGUUGUACCGCCGACCGACCUA
rnacentral:rRNA from 1 species